rnacentral:rRNA from 1 species
CGUCUAUAUACGUAUAGCAUAUCAAUAAGCGGAGGAAAAGAAACUAACUAGGAUUCCCUCAGUAACGGCGAGUGAAGCGGGAAGAGCUCAAAUUUGAAAUCUUCAAGGUUCUACCUUGACGAAUUGUAGUUUAAAGAAGUGUUUUCUGUUGGAGUUUUGGUAAAAGUUCUUUGGAAUAGGACAUCAUAGAGGGUGAGAAUCCCGUAUUUGACCAUUAUUUCCAACUUUGUGAUACACUUUCAAAGAGUCGGAUUGUUUGGGAAUGCAGUCCAAAAUGGGUGGUAAAUUUCAUCUAAAGCUAAGUACUGGCGAGAGACCGAUAGCGAACAAGUACCGUGAGGGAAAGAUGAAAAGAACUUUGAAAAGAGAGUUAAACAGUACGUGAAAUUGUCAAAAGGGAAGCGUUUGACACCAGUGUUGUUUUCUCGAAAAUCAAUUAAAAAUGGCUGGGAUUUUGUGUUGUAUUGACUUUAUCAGCUUUCUGCACUUUUUUCCUAUCUUUUUUAAUGCACUUUUCGUUUAACAAGUCAACAUCAAUUUCUUUUGUUGUAAAAGGGUCAUUGGAAGGUGGCUUUCUUUUCGGAGAAAGUGUUUAUAGCCUUUGCCUCUGCAAUCGGAGAGAUUGAGGUCUGCAGCGUAGAUCCUUCGGGGUUAGAUACAUUUGUGCUAAGCUUAUAGCCUUUCAUAGACAACUUGUUGACUAUGAUCAGUCAUGUAGCUUACUCGCUUAUGCUAUUUUACCUACGCUUAGGAUGUUGACGAUCAGCUGAGCGCG